GACCAAAGUAUUGCACCUAAUUCAAGGUUGCCUCUCUGUUGUGGUACUUAAAUUUGAGGACAUUAAGACAUGAGCUGGGGAAAAUAACUGGAGAGAAGGUAUUUCUCUCUUCAUUUCCCUCCCAGCCUACAAAA